rnacentral:rRNA from 1 species
GACGGAGGAUGCAAGCGUUAUCCGGAAUGAUUGGGCGUAAAGCGUCCGCAGGUGGCAGUUCAAGUCUGCUGUCAAAGACCGGGGCUUAACUUCGGAAAGGCAGUGGAAACUGAACAGCUAGAGUAUGGUAGGGGCAGAGGGAAUUCCUGGUGUAGCGGUGGAAUGCGCAGAUAUCAGGAGGAACACCAAUAGCGAAGGCAGCUCGCUGGGACGUUACUGACACUGAGGCGCGAAAGCGUGGGGAGCGAACAGG